rnacentral:rRNA from 1 species
GACGAACGCUGGCGGCGUGCCUAACACAUGCAAGUCAACUUGACUGAAGGAGCAAUCUGACAGUAGAGUGGCGCAAGGGUGCGUAACGCGUAAGUAACUUGCCCAAGGUAAGGAAUAACGUCGAGAAAUCGGCGCUAAUACCUCAUAAUGCAGCGGAUCCGCAUGGAUAUGUUGUUAAAGGUUUACCGCCUUGGGAUAGGCUUGCGUCUGAUUAGCUAGUUGGUGUGGUAACGGCACACCAAGGCUACGAUCAGUAACUGGUCUGAGAGGAUGAUCAGUCACACUGAAACUGAGACACGGUCCAGACUCCUACGGGAGGCAGCAGUGAGGAAUAUUGGGCAAUGCUCGAAGAGUGACCCAGCAACGCC